CGUAAGUGCAACGCAUCGCUGUUGUCCUCUCACAUCAAAAUAUAUCUGUUUAGAACUGUUUUCACUUUGUUUUAAGCACGUUUUCAUUUUGUGUGAACUAUUCUUUUAAGGUAAGGCGUUCGUUCAAAUCUCUAACGCUCUUUUAAUGUCUCAGCACUCACCUCUCCAGAAGUCUGUUCAGACCGUUCAAGCACGACAGCCGUAAUGAACUUAAUAACCGUGAAAUGAAGUUUUGUGAUCUGCGGAGAGGAGGAAAGUUUCUAUCAAAUCAGUGCCAGAUAUGGACAGUAUAAAUGCAGCCUUUCAUGUGCGGUUUCACGGCAGAUCUCGGGCCCUCGGGUCCACAGAUGAACCGUAGGCUGUGAUCUGCGGUCCUGGCAGUGCCAGCGCUUGGCAGGGCUUCAGCUCGCCCUCUUGUCUGCCAUCUGAUUCUACACCUGCCAAACUCCACGGCCCCCAUCUGCCCUUUACAACAUGACCUCAUCGGCACGUUUGAAGUGCUCUAGAGAGGCUGCCAACAUUCUCUGCCUCAAGCCCGGGAUGCUCACAAGGGGGUGCAACAACUAAUCCAACAACAUUUCAUCUAUUAAAAGGUGAACUACUGAUAUAGCGCACAAACAGUUUGAAGAGAAUCUUACUAAGCAGGCCAGGUGUGAGCAGUCUGGUUUCUCCUGUCCUCGGCUCUCAGCAGGUGGAGGCGACUGCAGCAGCAGAUCUUUGCAGGAGUGAGACGGUCCCACCAGCGGUGUCCUUUAACUGCGAGUCUUCCUCCACGCAGAGGCGGUGAGUCAGUGUAAAAUGGUUGUUCACGGCCCCUGAUUCAUUCUCCCAGCAGUCUUGGACAGAGCCCAUAAACGCUGCUGAGAACGUAAUCAAUCUGAGUGCGCGUGUAAGCGUGCGCCGUGUCUGCCAGAGAAAAAUGUACUUUUGAACGCCGUUAUGUGCAUCCGUGAGUUUAGCGUGAAAAAAGAGUCCAGGCUGUUUAAAGGUUGUCUUGUCAUAUGAUGACACUUUAUAAUAAGGUUUUAUAUGUUAAUGUUACUUAAUGCAAUUACAUCAACUAAUACGAUUAUGUUAACGUUUCUGAAUGCGAUUAUGUUAACAGUAAUGCAAUA